GCAUCAUUGGUCUAGUGGUAGAAUACAACGUUGCCAUCGUUGUGACCCGAGUUCGAUUCUCGGAUGAUGCA
rfam:Perkinsus marinus ATCC 50983 gcontig_1104296465976, whole genome shotgun sequence.